rnacentral:rRNA from 1 species
GGCAUGCUUAACACAUGCAAGUCGAGGGGCUGCGCGGAGUACCAAUACUCUGGCGGCGACCGGCGCAAGGGUGCGUAACGCGUGAGCAACAUGCCCGUAUCAGGGGGAUAAGCGAUGGAAACGUCGUCUAAUACCGCAUAACAUCAUUACGGACAUCCGUGGUGAUUGAAAGUUUCGACGGAUACGGAUUGGCUCGCGAGGCAUUAGCUGGUUGGCGGGGUAACGGCCCACCAAGGCUGCGAUGCCUAGGGGUUCUGAGAGGAAGGUCCCCCACACUGGAACUGAGACACGGUCCAGACUCCUACGGGAGGCAGCAGUGAGGAAUAUUGGACAAUGGAUGGAAAUCUGAUCCAGCCAUGCCGCGUGAAGGAUAAGGUCCUAUGGAUUGUAAACUUCUUUUGUACGGGAGCAAUAAGGCGUAUGCAUACGCUGAUGAGAGUACCGUACGAAUAAGCAUCGGCUAACUCCGUGCCAGCAGCCGCGGUAAUACGGAGGAUGCGAGCGUUAUCCGGAUUUAUUGGGUUUAAAGGGUGCGUAGGCGGAACGCCAAGUCAGCGGUGAAACGCAGGGGCUCAACCCCUGACCUGCCGUUGAAACUGGCGAUCUGGAAUGCGGAUGCUGUGGGAGGAAUGUGUGGGGUAGCGGUGAAACGCAUAGAUAUCACACAGAACACCGAUUGCGAAGGCAUCUCACACAUCCGUUAUCGACGAUGAGGCACGAAAGUGUGGGGAUCAAACAGGAUUAGAUACCCUGGUAGUCCACACUGUAAAUCGAUGAUAACUCGCUGUCGGCGAUAUACGGUCGGUGGCCAAGCGAAAGCGAUAAGUUAUCCACCUGGGGAGUACGACCGCAAGGUUGAUACUCAAAGGAAUUGACGGGGGCCCGCACAAGCGGAGGAACAUGUGGUUUAAUUAGAUGAUACGCGAGGAACUUUACCCGGGCUCGCACGGCUGGUGAAGAGAUACAGAGAUGUUGACGUCGUACGGGACCCCAGUCGAGGUGCUGCACGGUCGUUGUCAGCUCGUGCCGUGAGGAUGUCGGCUUAAGUGCCAUAACGCGCGCAACCCUGGUUGUCAGUUACCAUCAAGUGAACUUGGGGACUCUGGCGAGACUGCCACCGUAAGGUGAGAGGAAGGGGGGGAUGACGUCAAAUCAGCACGGCCCUCACGUCCGGGGCGACACACGUGUUACAAUGGUGGGUACAGAGGGCAGCUACCUGGCGACAGCGGGCAAAUCUCGAAAACCCAUCUCACUUCGGAUUGGAGUCUGCAACUCGACUCCAUGAAGUGGGAUUCGCUAGUAAUCGCACAUCAGCCACGGCGCGGUGAAUCCGUUCC